rnacentral:siRNA from 1 species
UAGUGCUUCCAAACUGAGUUACA